rnacentral:tRNA from 1 species
GGAGAUGGCACCUGCUUGGUAUGUAGGCGCCUCACUGCUAAUGAGGUUUUCCCGAAAGGGAAUCGGAGGUUCAAAUCCUCUCGUCUCCGCCA